GACGAACGCUGGCGGCGUGCUUAACACAUGCAAGUCGAACGGAAAGGCCCCCUUGUGGGGUACUCGAGUGGCGAACGGGUGAGUAACACGUGAGUAACCUACCCUUGACUUUGGGAUAACUUCAGGAAACUGGGGCUAAUACCGGAUAGGAGCUCCUGCUGCAUGGUGGGGGUUGGAAAGUUUCGGCGGUUGGGGAUGGACUCGCGGCUUAUCAGCUCGUUGGUGGGGUAGUGGCUCACCAAGGCUUUGACGGGUAGCCGGCCUGAGAGGGUGACCGGCCACAUUGGGACUGAGAUACGGCCCAGACUCCUACGGGAGGCAGCAGUGGGGAAUAUUGCACAAUGGGCGGAAGCCUGAUGCAGCAACGCCGCGUGCGGGAUGACGGCCUUCGGGUUGUAAACCGCUUUCGCCUGUGACGAAGCGUGAGUGACGGUAAUGGGGAAAGAAGCACCGGCUAACUAAGU
rnacentral:rRNA from 1 species